GAUGAACGCUGGCGGCGUGCCUAAUACAUGCAAGUCGAGCGAACGGACGAGAAGCUUGCUUCUCUGAUGUUAGCGGCGGACGGGUGAGUAACACGUGGAUAACCUACCUAUAAGACUGGGAUAACUUCGGGAAACCGGAGCUAAUACCGGAUAAUAUUUUGAACCGCAUGGUUCAAAAGUGAAAGACGGUCUUGCUGUCACUUAUAGAUGGAUCCGCGCUGCAAUAGCUAGUUGGUAAGGUAACGGCUUACCAAGGCAACGAUGCAUAGCCGACCUGAGAGGGGGAUCGGCCACACUGGAACUGAGACACGGUCCAGACUCCUACGGGAGGCAGCAGUAGGGAAUCUGCCGCAAUGGGCGAAAGCCUGACGGAGCAACGCCGCGUGAGUGAUGAAGGUCUUCGGAUCGUAAAACUCUGUUAUUAGGGAAGAACAUAUGUGUAAGUAACUGUGCACAUCUUGACGGUACCUAAUCAGAAAGCCACGGCUAACUACGUG
rnacentral:rRNA from 1 species